rnacentral:rRNA from 1 species
AUACGGAGGGUGCAAGCGUUACUCGGAAUCACUGGGCGUAAAGCGCGCGCAGGCGGUCUUUUAAGUUGGAUGUGAGAGCCUACGGCUCAACCGUAGAACUGCAUCCAAAACUAUUAGACUAGAGUGUGGGAGAGGAAGAUGGAAUUAGUUGUGUAGGGGUAAAAUCCGUAGAGAUAACUAGGAAUACCAAAAGCGAAGGCAAUCUUCUGGAACACUACUGGCGCUGAGGCGCGAAAGCGUGGGGAGCAAACAGGAUUAGAAACCCUAGUAGUCC